rnacentral:rRNA from 1 species
UACGAAGGGGGCGAGCGUUGUUCGGAUUUACUGGGCGUAAAGGGCGCGCAGGCGGCUUUGUUUGUCAGGCGUGAAAGCCCCGGGCUUAACCUGGGAACUGCGUUUGAUACGGCAGGGCUAGAGUUCGGGAGAGGAGAGUGGAAUUCCCAGUGUAGAGGUGAAAUUCGUAGAUAUUGGGAAGAACACCGGUGGCGAAGGCGGCUCUCUGGACCGAUACUGACGCUGAGGCGCGAAAGCAUGGGGAGCGAACAGG